GGCCCAGGAGCGGCUGCCAGGAGCUGGUGACCGCGCUGCGCCGCCCGCCCGCCGCGCUCCGCCACCGGCUCCGGGCUGCCCCCCGCUGCUACCGGGGCAGGAGCGGGCCGCGGCUCCAGCCCCCCCCCCAACCCCGUCUCUUCAUCAUCAUCAUCAUAAUAAUAAUAACAGCAGCAGCAGCAUUGGUGGGAGCGCGGAGGGAGGAGGCGAAGGGGCUGCGGAGGAAUUUGGGUCCUUUUCCUUUUUUCCCCCUCUUUUUUUUUUUUUUUUCCUUGAUAUAUUCCCUUAAAAAAAAAAAAAGGGAAAAAAAAAAAAAGAAGGAAGAUGUUUUAAAAAUGCAAGCGGCUUGCCCAGCUGCACACACCCACCCUCGCCUCCCUCCCCCGGCUUGCGCACACCGCACGCUCGCACUCGCUCGCUCGACCGCGCUCGCUCGGGUGUCAAAACCCGGCGGGCACCCAGCCUGGUGCGGGCACUGCCCCUGGCCCUUCCCCUGCCCCGAGCCCGCCUGGGGGCCGCCGCUUCCCACUACCAACACCCCCCCCCCCCUUCUUCUUCCGCCUCCCCACCGCCGCGCUUUUCCUCCCUGCUCUUGGCGCUGAAGAUCGGAGCUUCCCCCGCUUCCAAAUGUUAUGGUGCAUAUUGACUCCAUGGACUACCCAGACAAGUAAUGCAGUGGGACCAUGGCUACUCAUGUCAAACAGCCAACAUGCUGACCGAAACUUGCUGCUAUUUGCUGCUGUAUACCUUUGGAAGACGGGACAGAAGGGGUGCCCUUUGGUGUCCUGUGUGGCAAAAAGAAGGAUACGCUAAGUCAGCUCCUGGGAGAAGUCUCCAAACAGCUCCCUCUGGCUACUACUACAAGAAGCUGAACCUAUGGCUUCCGUUCCCUGGAAGCUGUGUCUGAUGAUCACAGGCCAUUAUAUGCUUCUCACUUGACUGCCCUGCUGGUAACUCUGCUUUUAAUAUGAAUUAUGCAAGAAAUGCUGUGAAGCAUCAGACAUUCAGGAGCUGAGGAUUGUGAAGAGUCCUCUCACAGUGUAUGAACUCAUUUCUGGAUAAAGUCUGAGACUCACACGGAUUCCAGCUUCUUCAGAAAGGACAAAAAAUGGAAAGGAUCAAAAAGUAACCGGUGGACUUUGGUUUUCCUGUGCAUGUGUGCUUGUAUCAUGUCUGAACUUGCAAAGAAUAUCCUUGGUUAUUCACAAGGAAUCCAGUAAAUGGCAAAUCUGUAAAUCAG
rnacentral:lncRNA from 1 species